rnacentral:rRNA from 1 species
AGUUGCCAGCGGGUAAUGCCGGGAACUCUAGAGGGACUGCCGGUGAUAAACCGGAGGAAGGUGGGGAUGACGUCAAGUCAUCAUGGCCUUUAUGUCCAGGGCUACACACGUGCUACAAUGGACGGUACAAAGGGCUGCGAGACCGCGAGGUGGAGCCAAUCCCAAAAAGCCGUCCUCAGUUCGGAUUGCAGUCUGCAACUCGACUGCAUGAAGGUGGAAUCGCUAGUAAUCGUGGAUCAGCAUGCCACGGUGAAUACGUUCCCGGGCCUUGUACACACCGCCCGUCACAUCACGAAAGUUAGUUGCUCUUGAAGUCGCUGAGUUAACCCUCGGGAGACAGGCGCCGACAGAGUGGCCGGCGAUUGGGGUGAAGUCGUAACAAGGUAGCUGUAGGAGAACCUGCGGCUGGAUCACCUCCUU